CCUACGGGAGGCAGCAGUGGGGAAUCUUGCGCAAUGGGCGAAAGCCUGACGCAGCAACGCCGCGUGCGGGAAGAAGGCCUUAGGGUUGUAAACCGCUUUCAGUAGGAACGAAAAUGACGGUACCUGCAGAAGAAGGUGCGGCCAACUACGUGCCAGCAGCCGCGGUGACACGUAGGCACCAAGCGUUGUCCGGAUUUAUUGGGCGUAAAGAGCUCGUAGGCGGUUCAGUAAGUCGGGUGUGAAAACUCUGGGCUUAACCCAGAGCCGCCACUCGAUACUGCUGUGACUUGAGUUCGGUAGGGGAGCAGGGAAUUCCUAGUGUAGCGGUGAAAUGCGCAGAUAUUAGGAGGAACACCGGUGGCGAAGGCGCUGCUCUGGGCCGAUACUGACGCUGAGGAGCGAAAGCGUGGGUAGCAAACAGGAUUAGAUACCCUGGUAGUCCACGCCGUAAACGUUGGGCACUAGGUGUGGGUUCCAACCAACGGAAUCCGCGCCGUCGCUAACGCAUUAAGUGCCCCGCCUGGGGAGUACGGCGGCAACGCUAAAACUCAAANAGAUAGACGGCGUGAGACGNGCCGACGGACGACGACGAGGGAGUAGG
rnacentral:rRNA from 1 species